rnacentral:rRNA from 1 species
CCUACGGGAGGCAGCAGUGAGGAAUAUUGGUCAAUGGUCGGGAGACUGAACCAGCCAAGCCGCGUGAGGGAUGAAGGUACAGCGUAUCGUAAACCUCUUUUGUCAGGGAACAAAGGCCGGGACGUGUCCCCCGAUGAGUGUACCUGAAGAAAAAGCAUCGGCUAACUCCGUGCCAGCAGCCGCGGUAAUACGGAGGAUGCGAGCGUUAUCCGGAUUUAUUGGGUUUAAAGGGUGCGCAGGCGGUCUGUUAAGUCAGCGGUAAAAGCGCGGGGCUCAACCGCUGCCCGCCGUUGAAACUGGCAGUCUCGAGUUGGAGAGAAGUAUGCGGAAUGCGUGGUGUAGCGGUGAAAUGCAUAGAUAUCGCGCAGAACUCCGAUUGCGAAGGCAGCAUGCCGGCUCCAAACUGACGCUGAGGCACGAAAGCGUGGGUAUCGAACAGGAUUAGAUACCCUGGUAGUC